GGUUAAGCGACUAAGCGUACACGGUGGAUGCCCUGGCAGUCAGAGGCGAUGAAGGACGUGCUAAUCUGCGAUAAGCGUCGGUAAGGUGAUAUGAACCGUUAUAACCGGCGAUUUCCGAAUGGGGAAACCCAGUGUGAUUCGUCACACUAUCAUUAACUGAAUCCAUAGGUUAAUGAGGCGAACCGGGGGAACUGAAACAUCUAAGUACCCCGAGGAAAAGAAAUCAACCGAGAUUCCCCCAGUAGCGGCGAGCGAACGGGGAGCAGCCCAGAGCCUGAAUCAGUGUGUGUGUUAGUGGAAGCGUCUGGAAAGGCGCGCGAUACAGGGUGACAGC
rnacentral:rRNA from 1 species